rnacentral:sRNA from 1 species
UUUUCUACUUAAUGAA